UACAGAGGUCCCAAGCGUUGUUCGGAUUCACUGGGCGUAAAGGGUGCGUAGGCGGUCGAGUAAGUCUGACGUGAAAUCUCCGGGCCUAACCCCGGAACUGCGUUGGAAACUACUUGGCUAGAGGAAUGGAGGGGAGACUGGAAUACUUGGUGUAGCAGUGAAAUGCGUAGAUAUCAAGUGGAACACCAGUGGCGAAGGCGAGUCUCUGGACAUUUCCUGACGCUGAGGCACGAAAGCCAGGGGAGCAAACGGGA
rnacentral:rRNA from 1 species